UAAAAGAUAAGCUAAAGAAGCUAGUGGGCUCAUAUCUCAUUUAUGAUCAAUUCUCUUUUGA
rnacentral:tRNA from 1 species